UUGGUUGUGGGAUAAAUUAUCCCAUUAUUCCUGCCAAACAUGAAAGCUUUUUUUGGGUUUUGGAUAUCCUGGGCUUAACAGGUUAUCCUAGUUAACUCUUAUUUCUCAUAACCUAUGGAAUAGUGUUGGUAGGGCGAUUUAUCCCAGGGGCAGUGGUUGGAAACUGGGUAGCCCUUUUUCAUGUUUGCCAUUGCUGCGCCCACCUACCGCCAUCUCCUCGAUUCUGCUAUUACUUCCUUCUUCUCUUCCCCUCUCACCUCCAGACUCAACUGAUGUAGUCAAUGAAGGAGAUCUGAGCAAGAUCCCCUCUUUCUCCUCGACAUUACUGCUCCAACCCACCUCCGCCUGCUCCCAUCUCCUCGAUUCAACCGUCAUCUUCCUCUUCUCAUCCCCCUCGUGUCAUUCCUUAAAUACGCCUAUUAAGGAGGAAGAUCUGAGCUACUCCACUGGCCUCUUCUACUAUUACUUCUUUAAUUUCUCUCGAUCCUCGAUUCAAACGCUUCCUCCUCUCCACUCUCUCGUCUCCUUUAUCAACAGUGGCUAUCAUUGAACAAAAUCUCAUCCAGAUUUGCCUUUACUGUGGACGGCCCUCUUGAAAUCUUUGAGGCAACACACACCUCUUUGGUUGCCUGGUUGUCUUAUCAAAUCAGCCAUUUACUGCUAUUAUUGGCUCUUCAGGUAAUCCCAUUAUUGUUCAAGUGCUUUUUCCUUAUAAGGUCAGGCAAAUGCAAGGUACAUAUUUUUUCAACUUGUUGCGCUCAAACUCCAGCUUUUUUGUUCCCUCUAAUACUAUUUUCGUGGCUGUAGUACUGUUAUCUGUCGGUUUCCCAGCAUAUUCUAUUGUGAUCAGAUCAGAUUUGAAAGAAAACUAAGGUUGGAAGAUAAGCUAAAGAGAGACGAACUUAUUCUACUAAUCCAUUCAACCUUAAUUGUGGCUAAAACAAGUUUCAGUGGGAUAAGGAAACAAUGGGAAAGCCCCAAAUGAUGAUUCCGAAAUUGUUGGUUCGGAUCUGAGCAUGUUUGAUUCGAUGGAAAGUUUAUAAAAAAAAGGCGAUGAUGUAGGGGAAGGGCAUUGAGGGGUAUCCAUGGCAGGGUAGCAUGUUUUUAAAAUGAUUGCAACCGCCAUGGUUUCGUAUUGAACCUUCCCCCUGAGCCUUAAAUAAAAGAAAUAUCUUAUUUGAGAUCUUUCUUUUCCUGGCUGCAUGUGUUUGCUACAUUUAUAAUCUAACAAUUAUUUUCUAUUACUCUCAUAUGGCUCUUCCCAAAAAGACGGUGCACCCUUUUGCUAAAAAUAAAUCCCCAAUAAUUGAUAUCCCCUCAACCGAUAGCCAAAGUUAGAGUGCUCUAUACAAGAGUCAUCAAAAACUAGAGUUCGAUCUGCGAAUUGGACUGAAAAAAUGAACUCUGCAAUGUUAAACUUAAUGACAGAGGAGUAUACUCUUGAAAAUUUUGUGAAUGAAAGUUUUACCCCGUUGGCAUGGAAUAGGAUAGUUCAUGACUUCAACUAGAGAACCAAUUUAAGUUUUACCAAAGUUCAUUUACAAAAUCGAUUGAAAGUUUUGAAGCGUCAGUAUCUAAUCUAUCAAAAUUUAGCCAACAAAAGUGGAUGGGGGUGGGACUACACACGCAACAUUCCAACAGCCGGUGAUCCAGGAAUCAAUCAUAGCAGUAUGUUUUGUUAUGUUACAACUUAGUUAUAAAAUCUCUGUUUUGACUUA